rnacentral:rRNA from 1 species
CCCUUAGAUGUUCUGGGCUGCACGCGCGCUACACUGAUGCGCUCAACGAGUUUACGAACUUGCCCGGAAGGGUUGGUUAAUCUUUUUAAAACGCAUCGUGAUGGGGCUAGAUUAUUGCAAUUAUUAAUCUUCAACGAGGAAUGCCUAGUAAGCGUGAUUCAUCAAAUCGCGUUGAUUACGUCCCUGCCCUUUGUACACACCGCCCGUCGCUCCUACCGAUUGAAUGUGUUGGUGAGGAGCUCGGAUUGGCAGCAGUUGGUGGUUCGCCACCGGCUAUUGCUGAGAAGUCCUCCAAACCGCCCCAUUUAGAGGAAGGAGAANUCGUANCA